rnacentral:lncRNA from 1 species
CACUAUCUCUCUUGAAACUUAUUUCAAUUGUGUUAUACACAUCAAACAUUUUGGAGAGCAUGUGGUUAUUGUACACUACAUAGUUUACAAUAAACUUAGUGAACGAUUAGGAUAGGGACAUAAAGGUGAAGUCCUUGUCUAGUUCCCGUCUCUAGAAGUGUUUUAACACUUCAACACUCAAUGAUUCAAAAUCAUCAUAAG